UACGAAGGGGGCUAGCGUUGUUCGGAAUUACUGGGCGUAAAGCGCGCGCAGGCGGCUUUUCAAGUCAGGGGUGAAAGCCCAGAGCUCAACUCUGGAACUGCCUUUGAGACUGUGAAGCUUGAGUACGGGAGAGGUGAGUGGAAUUCCGAGUGUAGAGGUGAAAUUCGUAGAUAUUCGGAAGAACACCGGUGGCGAAGGCGGCUCACUGGCCCGUUACUGACGCUCAGGCGCGACAGCGUGGGGAGCAAACAGG
rnacentral:rRNA from 1 species